rnacentral:tRNA from 1 species
ACUUUUGUAGUUUAAAUAAAAUGAUAGUCUUGUAAACUAUAGUUGAUAUGUCUAAAAGUG